rnacentral:lncRNA from 1 species
AAAAAUAGCAAUUAAGUCCUUCGAGUAUUUAGAAUAAUGGGCCAAUCCUGGCAGCUUCAUUUACUCCCAAAUUGGGUAAUGAAUUCCUCAAAUCGAUGUGGUGCCUUUGUUGCUCUUAACGGGCGUCCGUUGUCUGCUUCUUCCCCAACUUCUGGAGCCAAGUUGAAAUCUCUCGCAACCUGCUUUGCGAUCUCUCUUGCAGCUGGUCGCCGAAUUGUAUCAUCUCCCCCCUCUUCGAAAAUCGCCAUGCCCUCAUUGGUGAUGGAAGGAAACAUUGCUGCAAGCUGUUGAUAUAUAGUUCUCCCAUGACGCAUCCUCCGGAGCCGAGUCACUCCAGUGCACUAGAACUUGUUCUUUAGGCCUCCCAUUCAGGUAAAUAUUUCUUGAGUCAAUCUGUGCCACUGGAUAUACUAUUGGUUUAUUAUCGAUAGCUAAAAUUGGGUUCACUUCUUCAGAUGGUGGUAUUUUUCCCUUAUAAGUCUUCAAUUUUGAAAUAUGAAAAGUGUUGUGGAUCUUGCUGCCUUGAGGUAAUUCAACUGUGUAUGCUGCCUGUUGGUGUGUGGGCUUGUCGGAGUAAGCUCACAACUACAACUUAGUACAAGUUCACUCUCUACAUUUAUCAACCCCCUCCCCUGUUGGACCAGGGGAGGUAUUUACAGCUUCCUAUCGCCGACCUCGGGCCUCGUGGGCUCGUGCGUUGGGCCCGUCCACUCGCCUGGGCCGCCGACAGGCCCUGUUCGGUCCAUGGGCCACGGUCCAUGGUACCAACAGUACUCCCCUCUUCCUCGACGGGCCCGGGCCCGGGGACCGUCCGUCCCCGUCCCGCCUACAACCACGUCCAUUAGAGCUCCUCGGUGUUCGAGCCCAUCCUCCUUCUCCUUCCUAUAAAUAGCCUACUCGACUCUUCAACUUCUCAUACCAUCCCCCUUCCGCCAUGAGUGUUCAAGAUAUCCUCGAGGAGUACGGUCGCGAAGUGCAGCUUCAGCACGCCGCCUGGGCUAUGUGCCUGAUGUUGCCCGCCGGCGUCCCUAACAGCGUGGCCGUCGCCGAGACUCAACGUCUCAACGCCGUGUUGAUCGACGUCCAUCGUCGCUUCUCCCAGGUUCGCCGCUCCGACCUUCUCGCGGACCAUCCUGCCGUCGCCUACCCCGGUACCGCUCUUGCCGCCGUCUCGGGCUCCGCCGGCACCUCGCGUGCCUUCAGCGCGCAUGGUAACAUCGCCGCUCCUGCUGUCGCGGCCGCUGCCGAUUCUCUGCCAAAGCGUCGUUGGUCGCGCGACCAUCGCCGCUCUCGUGGUUUUUCGUCCCUUCCGGCUACUGACCUGCGCCACUUCCUGUCGGGGUCCUCGAAGUCGGCCCGCUAGGCCCGUCGUGGAGCUAUCCGCAGUCGCGCCCACGUCCUUUCGGGCUGUGGGUCUGUCUUCGCGGGGCGGCGUCUGGGGCGCCUCGUCCUUCUUCUCUCCUUUCUUUUUUUGUAUCCGUACUUUUGUUGUUGUUAUAUGUUGUGCUCUUUUUUCCGCCGUGUCGCCGGCUACUGUAACACUUGUUUUACUUUAAUGAAUGCUUUUCUUUCGUUUCUUUCUCUUUUGUUUUGACUUUGCCCUCGCAUGUUGGUGUAGAUUUGCGCUACUCGACGUCUUCUGCCGACAUUGCCCGGGCCCUUCUUAAGCUAUGCCCUCGCUCCCCGCCGCGGGCCCCCUCUUCGCCGACGCGGGGACCCGCCCGUUACGUCGUCUCGUUUGAUUCCUUGGUCGGGUUCGCCAGUGGGCCCGCUUGGACACCGUCGCCCUGUUCCGCGCGUAUCGUUUGGUCGCUGGAUGCCGCUGGGUCUUCGUCGGGCGUCUCUCCAGCGCCUCGCCGUCCGCGUCGGGCCCUGACUUUCACCCUGUUCCCCGACGGGCUGGGCCCUGGGCUCCCCGGCCCAUCCGGUCCCAUCCAACCCAGGUAAACGACGCUUCGUCUUCCGCACCCUCGAACCCUUAUAUAAACCCCGUUCCCCUCCUUCACUCGCGACUAACUCUCAUUUCCUCUCGCCUCGCUCUCCAUCUUCCUCGACUCCGACUUCCUCCCUUCACCAGGUUGCUAAUGGCUGCUGCUCCUCCUCACUCCGCUGUCAGCUCUGCUGCCGCUUCUCAAUCCGGCGCCGGCGCUGCUCUUGCCGAGUCACUCUUCGCGACUCCCACCAACAAGAAUCCGCUGUCCACAGUCGGAGCCGACGCGAUCCGGGAGGCUCUGGUGUGGGUGCUGUUCUUAGUCAGAAAAAUCACCCUAUUAGUUUUUUCAGCUGUAAGCUAUCUGGAAGGAUCAUGGCAGCAUCGAUAUAUGUGAAAAAAAUGUUCGCAAUCACUCAAGCUGUGAGCAAGUGGAGACACUAUCUUUUGGGGUCACAUUUUGUUAUCAAGACAGACCAUAAAAGCCUAAAAAAUCUACUAACUCAGGCUAUUCAGACCCCAGAACAGCAAGUAUUUUUAUGUAAACUGCUAGGUUUUGAUUUUUCUAUUAUAUUUAAGCCAGGAAAAGAAAAUGUAGUUGCAGAUGCCUUAUCUAGAAAUUUUGACGAGGAGGAGGAAGUUCUUUUUACUUCAAGUUCUAUGGGAGUCCCUGGCUCAUUAUUAGCACUAUCCCUACCAGUAUAUGGUCUGUUAGAUGAAAUAAAGGCAGAAAAUACAAGUAAAAUCAGAACUAAAGAAUUACUAGAGAAAUAUGCAGAAACAGAUGAAGGUUCUGCGGGAUAUGUGGUCAGAAAUGGCACCUUAUUUUUCAAAAAGAGGUAUUACGUUAAUGAAGAUUCUCCUCUUAUAAAGAAAAUUUUAUUUGAAUUGCAUGAUUCACAGCUAGGAGGGCAUUCUGGUAUUCAUAGAACCUGGAAAAGGGUUGUUAAGUAUUUCUACUGGCUAAACAUGCAUGGGAUCACAAAUAAAAAAAUAUGUCAAAGAAUGUUUGGUGUGCCAACAAAUAAAACCACUAAAUUCAAAGUUGGCAGGAUUACUAAUGCCUCUUCCUAUUCCUUCAAAUGUAUGGGAGGAUAUUAGUAUGGAUUUUAUAACAGAUCUUCCCAAGGCCAAGGGGAAAUCAGUGAUUAUGGUCGUGGUGGAUAGGCUAUCCAAGUAUGCACAUUUUAGCUCACUUCCCAAAAUUUUAAUGUAUCUGUUGUGGCAGAAUUAUUCAUCAAAGACAUAGUAAAACUACAUGGUAUUCCUAGUUCAAUUGUGUCAGAUAGAGAUAGAGUGUUUACAUCUAGAUUUUGGAAGGAGCUCAAUAAACUCAGUGGUACAAAACUGAAUUUUUCAUCAGCCUAUCAUCCCCAAUCAGAUGGACAGACAGAGGUUGUAAAUAGGGUACUAGAGAUGUAUCUGAGGUCCUAUUGCCAUGACAAUCCUAGUCAAUGGUUAAAAUUGCUACCAUGGGCAGAGUUAUGGUAUAACUCAAGCUUUCACUCAUCAUUGGGGUUGACACCCUUUAAAGUUCUAUACGGAAAAGAGGCAAGUGAAAUUCCACACUAUAAAGAAGGGGAAUCAUCGGCACAAGCUGUUGAUGAAAUUCUACACCUCAGAGAGGAGACAUUAGAAAAAAUAAAGAAGAACCUAAGCAUGGCUCAAAACAGAAUAAAGAAUAAGGUUGAUAGAAAAAAAUCGGAUAUAAUUUAUAAAGAAGGUGAUUGGGUCUUAGUUUAACUAAAACCAUACAGGCAGGAAUCUGUGGCUCAGAGGUUACAUAAUAAGCUCUGUAAAAGAUACUUUGGUCCAUAUGAAAUAUCAAAAAAAAAUAAUGAGGUAGCUUACAGGCUCAAACUUCCGGAUGGCAGCAAGAUUCAUCCAACAUUCCCUGUAUCACGCUUGAGAAAAUUCUGUGGAAUAGUUACAGAGCAAAACAGCAACAAAUAACCAUUAGUAUCAGUAAAUAAUAAACCAAUUAUUUACCCUGUUUCUGUGCUAGGUAGAAGAAAAGUGCAGCAAGGAGGCAAAGAGAGAAAACAGGUACUUAUCGAGUGGAAUGGAGCAAUUCCGGAGGAUUCUUCCUGGGAAUUCGAAGAGGACGUCAAAUGGGGGUUCCUUUCUAUCAACAUUGUGGACAAUGUUGAGUCUCAACAGGUCGGUGAUGAUGCGAUUCUAGUAGACAGCAGAGCAAUCCAAGGAGAUGUGGAGAAGAUAAGAACUCAAGCAAGGAAUGCGGACUUAGUUGAAGAAACGAGAGAUGCCGACGACCCAAGUUUGUUCAACGAACCUGAACCGGGUCCGAUCAGGAGAUCGAUGCGCCAGGGCCGUCCGCCAAAUUGGGUGAAAGAUUAUGAGUUAGGGAUUCCAUCGCUUCCAUCGAAUACCUAAUUUUAAAAGGGAAUUUAUUAAAGAGACCCUAUGCAUUUCAGUAUUAAAAUUCUGCUGCAAUAGUUAAAUAGACAAUUUGUGUUUGAAUUUUUUAAUGAAUUAAUAUUACAAAAACUUUCAUCCCACUUCACCGAUCUAGAUUCCGGCGAUAGUCGAGUACGUCCAUUCUCCAUUCCACCGUCACUUGAUCGUUCAAUCUGCUCUCCAUCCAGACGCGUCCGUGACAUUCAGAUCUUCCGAGAUCUUCCAUGCCGUAUCAAGCCCCUACCAAAUCCGCUUCACAGCAUUGAUUUGGGAAGCUAAGACUCGAUUUCAGGAGUCUUACUCCGCUGUGCGCAGCUUCGGACACCCGUGAUUGAAUUCACGGAUCUGGGGCAUCCUUCAUUCCAGGUUAAAUCGUUUCUUUUCUGUCUAUCCAAUCUUAGGCCGUAUCAAGGGCUAAUAUCCAGUUCCGAUGAAACACGGAGAUCACUAGCCUAAAAGUAAUGGUCAAACCUCUGCCAAGCUUUAAGGCUAAAUGCUUCUGAACCACCUAAGAGUAUUUAGGAACUCUUAAAAACCUCUGCCAAGCUUUAAGGCUAAAUGCUUGUGAACCACCUAAGAGUAUUCAGGAACUCUUAAAAACCUCUGCUAAGCUUUAAGGCUAAACGCUUGUGAACUCUCUAAGAGUAUUAAGGAACUCUUAAAAAACUUGAACCUUUAAGGCAGAUUCAACCUAAGAGUUUUCCUGGAAACUCUAUAGAACCACACCGAGUUUUAUGGUUGAACACGUAGAACCUUUCAAGUGUUGGUGUUGAGACAAACUUCUCACAACACUUGGACCAAUUACAAGAUGUAGAACUUUUCUUCUAACACACUCUCAACGUACAAGAGGCGAAGAAGAAGAAGUUGAAGAACUAAGCACACAGCCUUGAGAGAAACUCCCACACAAAGCUUGAACGAGAGCUAGAGCAAGAUCAAGAGAGAAAGAGUAGAGCUUUGAUCCAAUGAGAGCUUUAGCAAAGAUGGCAAGUGAUGGCUUUGACUUGGGUGUGCACCUCUUUAUAUAGUAGACGUUGAUAGCAUGGAGGUAAAUUCUUCAUCUUCAAAACUCUUAGGAAGAAGAGCUUGAGAUUUGUAGACGUUGGAGGCUUGAAACUUCUCUUGGAUUUGAAUUUUAUCUUGGGAGAUUAUAUAGCAUUAACUUUAAAGUCAUGAUUGGAUUUUAUCUUGAGAGAUUGCGUAACAUUAAAUCCAAUGUCAUGAUUGUGUAACAUUUUGGGAGAGUAAACCUCCACACGUUUUGUGCUCCUUCAAUUUGAACUCUUCAACUAGAAUUUAUCAUGAUUGCACUUUUACACGUUUUCUACACCUUGGGUUCAUUUGAAGCUUGAAUGAAUAACUGUAGCUUUCACACCUUGUUGAUUAACCUAUAAGACAUUGAUCAACUUGACACAAUGUUAAUACAAGUAAUAGGUGUGCAUAAUUAAAUACAAGCUUCAAUUAAUUAACUUGAUUAAUAGCAGAUAUUUUUUUGAUGAAAAUAAUAUUGAUCUCGUUCUAGUUUUAAUCAUAUAUCAAGUCAAUUUUAUCUAUAUGAGUUUAAUUGAUUUAUUCAUGUAGGUUUAACUCAUAUAUUUUUAUAUCUUGUUAAUUAGGGUUUAUUAUAUUUUAAAUUAAUUAACAACUAAAUAUGUCAUUCCCGCCGUCAGGGUAAGCAUCAUUCCCGUCCAGUGGCGUAUCCAGGAUUCCCCGGUAGGGGGGGCAAGAUUCGCCGAAGGCGAAAAAAAUUUUUUGUACUAAUUAAUAAACCUAUACAAAUUUUGGCAUGACCUAUUCAUAUAAUUGAUUAUAAAAACCUAUAAAAAAUCAAUACAUUCAUUAUAUAAUUAAUAUUCAAUACAUUAAUUAAUAUUCAAAUUAAAAAUAAAUACAUUCAUUUAAUUAACAAUAAAAAUUUCAAAUACAUUUUACAUUACUUUAAUGUCCUACGACGAAGACACAUAUCAUUAAAUAUUUUUAAAAUAACUUCGUUGUCUAUAGUUUUAAAAAUAUCUUUCUCGAUAUAUAUUACUAAACAAUCAUUUAUCAAACUAUCACCAAGACGAUUUCUGAGACGAGUUUUAAUGUGGGAAUUACAUUAAAGAAAUAAAUAAAAUGGUUCCUCUUUAAUUAAUUAAAGAAAGAAAUAAAAUUCAUAUGGAUAUUUAAUCAAUUUAGGUCCCUGUUUUAAAAAAUCACAUGGAAUGAUGAAAAUUCAUAUUUUUUCAGGUUGAUGAUAGUUCAAUUCAAUUUUUUGCAAAUGGUUCAUUAUCCUGUUUUAAAAUGGUACAUUUUUUUCCGGAUCAAGCUAGGUUAAACACAAACGGAUCAAGAAUUCAAGAUAGACGGACAUACCUAGAGCCUAAAGGCUAGAGAGUAGCGGAGACUGGACUCUGGAGAGUGGAGACGAACUGAAGGCAGUGAAAUCCGAUGGUGGUGGUGUCCUGUGGGCUGUGGCACAAUAACUGAAUCUCGAUGGACGGUGGUCAGAACGUGAGAGCUUGACCGGUUGACCCUGAGAUGAUCGUGAGGUGGAUGGGAGGAGGAGAGAUUGGGGGAAGUCGUGAGUUUUGGGAAAGGAGAUUGGGGGAAACAAGACUGAAGGAAAUUAGAUGGGGGGAAACGAGAUUGGAGGAUGGGGCGGAAAAUGAGAUUGGGGAAAUAAUAUUAGCGAAAGAAUAUUGGGGAGAUUUUUGGGAGAAAUCGUGGGUUUUGGGGAUAUUGGGGAUAUUGGGGAAAUUUGGAGGAUAUUGGGGAAAUAUCGUGGGUUUUGGGUUUGGGGGAGAGGUUUAGGGAUUUAGAAAUUUGGGGGAGAGGUUUAAGGAUUUAGAAAAUUUGGGGAGAGGUUUAGGGAUUAAGAAGAUUUGGGGGAGAAAUUUAGGGAUAUUUAAGUUUUUAGGGAUUUAUAUGUAAUUAAACUUAAAAUUACAUAUAUUGUAAAAUUUAUAUAGUAUAUAAAUAUUGUGAAAUUUAUAUAUUAACCCUUAAAAAAUAUUAAUAUAUUGUGAAAAUUACACUUAACCCCC